UGAAAAUUGAGCACACACAGCAUGGAUGUAAAAGGUACUCUUGAAAAUAGCUCCAAACAUCACCCAAAUAGAGGAUUCUGUGAUUUGUGCAAACAGCUUCAUUCUGGAAGUUAUUGGAGUCUUUACUCCUAAGACCAUCCCUCAGGAACCUCAGUCUCUGGAA